UUUUAUUCUAUUUUUUCUACUUCUCUUGGAUUUGGGUAUUUUGUGUAGUUGUAUCUUGAUGUUGUUAAGAUUUACUUAUCAGGAAUCUCUCACAAUCGGUUGAUUUUACUUUCAAUUUGUACUCGGAUCAUGCGACUUUGGUGUUGAAGGUGCAUACAGGCUGAUUCGGCGAUCUAGGGUUCGGUCGACGGUUUCAAGGGUCAUGUUGUCAUCAAAGUUCGUUGCCAGGUACAAACUUUCAUGUUGGUGAUGACAUGUAGGAGAGUAGGAAAAGCUUCAAAAAAUUCAAGCAUAAUUAGAGAGAGAACGAGAGGCCUGACAAAACAUAGAAUCCCGUUUUGAAAAAUUUCAACAAGAGCGCGAAAAAGAGCGGACUGACCAAGCGGCAUGGCAAAAAACUACGGAAGAAAAACUGAAAAACAACGAAAAUAAGUAAAAACUUUCGUCUUGUUAAGUAUUGAAAUGUUAAAGAUUGGAUGAAUGCUUUUAAUAAGGAUUUU
rnacentral:lncRNA from 1 species